GACGAACGCUGGCGGUGCGCCUUAUGCAUGCAAGUCGAGCGAAGCUUUUCAGUAGUUUACUACAGAAAAUGACUGAGCGGCGAACGGGUGAGUAACGCGUGAGCAAUCUACCUUAGUUACAGGGAUAGCCCGAGGAAACUCGGAUUAAUACCUGAUAUUCUUUAAAUUUCGCAUGAAAUUAAAAGGAAAGGUCAGCCGAACUAAGAUGAGCUCGCGUUCUAUCAGCUAGUUGGUGAGGUAAAAGCUCACCAAGGCUACGACGGAUAGCUGGUCUGAGAGGACGAUCAGCCACACUGGGACUGAGACACGGCCCAGACUCCUACGGGAGGCUGCAGCAGGGAAUAUUGCGCAAUGAGCGAAAGCUUGACGCAGCGACACCGCGUGUGGGAUGACGGAUCUAGGUUUGUAAACCACUUUCAGGAGGGAAGAAAAUGACGGUACCUCCACAAGAAGCCCCGGCCAACUACGUG
rnacentral:rRNA from 1 species